ensembl:lncRNA
GCUUCGCCCACGACGCGCUCCGCAGGACUCCCCCGCGCCUCCCUUCACCCCACGCUCGCCCUCGGAGGGACCGCUCCUCUGAAACCUCAGGAUGACAGUCCUGGAGGAAGCGCCCUUGCUUAGCCUCUGCAGUCGGUGCUCCGGCCUCUUGCAGCCGCCCGCGUGUCGGGGAGGAACGAAUGGGUCCCCAGAUGCGGUCCAGACGUGCCCGGGGGUAGGAGGGCAGUGCUGACUCGGGCCAUUGCAGGGACCAACCGCCAAGACGGUGGCUAAACGAAAUAAGCUAGUCCCAAAAGGACAAGCAGUGCUUGGACCCACCUGUGUGAGGUGCCUGGAGUCCUGAAGACAGAAAGGCGACAGGCGGGUGCCAGGGGCAGGGGCGGGCGCUGGGAAGUGAGUGUUUAAUGGGGACAGAGCUUCAGUUUGGGAAGGUGAAAAGAAUUCUGGAGAUAAUUGUACAGCACUGCCCAACUGAAUGCUUUAAGGUGUAAGCUAUCACAAUUCAAAAUACGUAAAAUUAAAAAGGCAUUGUUUUUUGUUAUAUGCCACAACGUGGAUGAAAACGUUAUGCCAAGGGAAAUAAGCCAGUCGCAAAGAGACAAAUACCGUGUGAUGCGGCUUCGAUGACCUCUCAAGACUGGAUCAGUUCAGGAGGCAGAGGUGCUUGAGAUUUCCUGGGGCUGGAGGAAGAGAGAAGGGAUACACCACAGGGUACAGGGUUUCCAUCGGGAGUGGAGACCAAGCUCUGCGAUGGCCCCACAACGCUGUGAACGUGCUUGACGUCAGUGACCUGUACACUUAAAAUAGUCUCCGUGUGUGCUCUGUGUGAUUUACAUUUUACCAAAACAUUUACAAGGAUGCAGCUGUAAAGCAAUGAUAAAUUUGAUUUCAUCGAAUGUUUUAAAUUUCGAUUUCAGAAAGGCAUUGUUAAGAGAAUGAAAGGACAGUUCCCUCCUCGGGCGUUAAGGAGCCGGUGUCAUCACUGCUGUGGUUCUGGUUACAGCUGUGGUGUGGGUUCGAGCCUUGGCCUGGGAAUGUCCAUAUGCCACAGGCAAGGCCAAAUAUAAAUAAAAAAAUCUUUUUCUUGCUUUUUAGGGCCGCACCCACAGCAUAGGGAGAUUCCCAGGCUAGAGGUCUAAUACGAGCUAUAGCUGCCAACCUACACCACAGCCAUAGCAACGCCAGAUCCGAGCCUCCUCUGCAGCCUACACCACAGCUCAGGGUAAACCCAGAUUCUUAACCCACUGAGCGAGGCCAGGGAUCGAACCCAUGACCUCAUGGUUCCUAGUCAGAUUGUUUCCACUGAACCAUGACGGGAGCUCUAAUAAUUUUUUUUUUUUGAAGCUAGAGAAGUUCCCAUCAUAGCACAGUGGAAACGAAUCCGACUAGGAACCAUGAGGCUGCAGGUUUGAUCCCUGGCCUCUCUCAGUGGGUUGAGGAUCCGGCAUUGCCGUGAACUGUGAUGUAGGUCGCUGGUAUGGCUCAGGUCCCACGUGGCUGUGGCUGUGGUGUAGGCCAGCGGCUGCAGCUCCAAAUAGACUCCUAGCCUGGGAACCUCCACAUGCUGCAGGUACAGCCCUAAAAAAAAAAAAAAAAGACAAAAGACAACAAAAUAAAUAAAAUGAGAGAGAGAGAAAAAAAAAGACAAGCUGUGGUUGCCACGGCUGCAGCUGAGGUCGUGACUGCAGCUCUGGUCUGGUCCCUGGCCGGGGAGCUCCAUGUGCCAUAGGGUAGCUGGAAAAAAAGAAAAAGAGAAAAGACAAGCUAUCAACUGGAAGAAAAAAAACUGCACAUCACAUUAGCCAACUGUUUGUACAGAGAAUAUAUAAAGAGUUCUCAAAACUCACCCGUUAAAAAACCACCCAAAGAGAAAAGUUGAGGAUAGACUUAGAC